rnacentral:rRNA from 1 species
AAGUAAGCUAUUUAAGGAUGAAUGCCUUGGGACUAAGAGUCGAAGAAGGACGUGAUAUCCUGCGAUAAGCUUUUGGGAGCAGGAAAUUAGGCUGAGAUCCAGAGAUUUCCGAAUUGUUACCAGUAAUGUGGUAUCUUACGAGCUCAAGGGCGAACCUAGCGAACUUAAACAUCUUAGUAGCUAGAGGAAAAGAAAACAAAGAGUGAUUCCCUUGAAUAGCCCAAACCAGUUAUCUCGCACUAGGUUGAAGGAAUUAUGGUCAUCAUAAGAGUUACCAAAGCUACUCAUAGGAUAAUUGUCUGGGAAGCCAUACUAAAGAAGGUGAGAGUCCUGUAUUCGAAAUGAGUCUCUCUUUCCUAAACACGUGAAAUUUGUUGGGAAGCAGCGGGGACCACCCUGCAAGGUGAAAUACUACUUAGUCACCGAUAGUGACCGUGAGGGAAAGGGUAAAAGAACCUGCAUCUACAAGAAGUGAAAGCCUGUUUGCAGAAUGAGCCUGCGAGUUAUGAUUGUUAAACAGAGCCACAGCGAAAGCGAGUGGGCAUUAAGUCAGUGAUUUUAGACCCAAACUAGGUGAGCUAACCAUGAGCAGGUUGAAAUUAGGGUAAUACCUAGUGGAGGACCGAACCAGUUUUCGUUGUUGGAUGACUUGUGGUUAGGAGUGAAAAGCUUAUCGAACUCCCCGAAAUAGUUUUAGGACUAGCGCAAGAGUUAAAAUAAGUGGGGAUAGAGCACUGAAUAGAGAAGGGCUCCAAACCGGGUACCACCUCUAAUCAAACUCCGAAUACCCUUUCAGUGUCGUGAGGGAAACCUUGGCGAAGGUCCCUAAGUAGUAUUAGGAAGACGAAAACAGCUAGAAGGUUGGCUUAGAAGAUCCUUUAAAGAGUGCAUAAAAGCUCCAUUUUCAGCGCCGAGAAUGUAAGGGGGCUCAAAUCCUACACCGAAUAGGCUAGCUAGUCAUUUUUGUAGUGAUAGCUAGCGGUAGGGGAGCCUAGUAAUGACAGUGAAGCUAAACUGGGAGGAUCAGUGGAGUUUUGACUAGUGAGAAUGCCGGCGUGAGUAACGAAAGGGGGUGAGAAUCCUCCUGGCCGAAUGACUGAAGUGGUUAGUCGAUGGAUAAUAGGUUAAUCUUCCUGUACUCACCGUAAUUACCGAGGGAGUGACGGAGUCGGCUAAGAUAAGCUUAAUUGGUCUAAGUGUAAAGAGGGUGUGGUUGGCAAAUCCACCACAGGGUAACCUUGAAGCAUGAUGGAUAGGGCAACCGAAGUAUCUUAAUGCCUUGCUUCCAAGAAAAACUUAUAAGGAUAUAUUUAGGGUACCCGUACCGCGAACGAACAUACGUAGUAAAUGAGAAGAUCCUCAGGCCCACGAGCAAACUAUAGUUCAGGAACUCGGCAAAUUAGCCCUGUAAGUUCGCAAGAAUGGGUGCCUAGGGCAACCUAGGUCGCAGUGAAGAGGCACGAACGACUGUUUCUCAAAAACACAGCUCUAUGCUAAGGCGCAAGCUAUAGGAGGGGGCGACACCUGCCCCAGUGCUCUAAGGUUAAGAGGAGGGAUUCACUAAAAAGAAAAAAAAAUUAGUUACGUUCUGAAUUGAAGCCCGAGUGAACGGCGGCCGUAACUAGAACGAUCCAAAGGUAGCGAAAUUCCUUGUCAGGUAAGUUCUGACCCGCAUGAAAGGCGUAACGAUUCCACUAUAGACUCGGUGUAAUCUUAGUACCGGUUACCCGGAACCCGUGGAGCUUUACUGCAACUUGAUAUUGGAUUUUUUUUUUUAGGUGGGAGACCAAGACAGUGUUUAAUGGGUAGUUUUACUAGGGCGAUCGCCUCCUAAGGUUUUAAUAAGGUAUCCUAAAUAGGUAGUAAGCGUAAAGGUAAAAGGAUGCUUAACUGCGAGACAAACAAGUCGAGCAGAUACGAAAGUAGGACUUAGUGAUCCGGCGAAAGCGGUUACCUGGUGGUAGGGCCAUCGCUAAACGGAUCAAAGUGACCCCGGGGAAAAAAAAAGGCUAAUACUUUAUAAGAGACCACAUCGAUGUCGACUCAUCGCAUCCUGGAGGUGAACAAGCUUCCAAGGUUGGGGCCAUGAGUUGGGUUUCUUGAACUCCUAGUAAAGGCGAACAGCUAUUUCAGGAUUAUAUAAGCUAUAAACACUGAAGUGCGAAACUAACUUAA